AUAUUUUUUUUAACUCUUACUAGUUAUUAAUGAGAUUUUCUCUCCUUUUUUUUUUUCAAUUUUUCUUUAUUUUAUAUUUUAAAUCAAUAAUGAUUAGAUUUACUAUCUUUUUAGUAGAUUUGCAUUUGUUGCUUCAAUUUUGAGAAUUUUUGCUUCUCUUAUUUUGGAGGUAAUCAAAUUAGAUUCAUAAGAAGACUAUAGAGCGAAAUAGUAGCUAAAAAUUACUACUAAAUGGAAUGCGAUUCCCAUCAAUUAAUUUGGCGAGUUCAAAUUUUUACUAUUUUAAUAUUUGUCUUUAAAUCAAGAUAGUUGUUUAUAUAUUUAAUUUAUUAUAGGACUUGUGUUAAAUUUAUCUAAUAAAAAAAGGAUUAAUAGUGCAAGAAAGUUUAUUACUUCUGAUUUAUAUCAUUUUUUUUCAAUGAACCUUUAUCUUUCCUUCUUAAAAAGAUUGUAAGAAACCCCGCAAAAUUACACAUUAUCGACUUGUUAUAGUAAAAAUAAUAUAUCUAAAAUCUCCAAUAAAUGAAAGAGAUUAAAUUUGAAAAACUAUUUGAAUAGAUAAAUUUUUUUUACUUAAAUUUGAUUAAUAUAAAUUAAAG
rnacentral:misc_RNA from 1 species